AUUGAACGCUGGCGGCAUGCCUUACACAUGCAAGUCGAACGGCAGCGGACCUUCGGGUGCCGGCGAGUGGCGAACGGGUGAGUAAUGCAUCGGAACGUACCUUUCAGUGGGGGAUAACGUAGCGAAAGUUACGCUAAUACCGCAUAUUCUGUGAGCAGGAAAGCAGGGGAUCGCAAGACCUUGCGCUGAUUGAGCGGCCGAUGUCAGAUUAGCUAGUUGGUGAGGUAAAGGCUCACCAAGGCGACGAUCUGUAGCGGGUCUGAGAGGAUGAUCCGCCACACUGGAACUGAGACACGGUCCAGACUCCUACGGGAGGCAGCAGUGGGGAAUUUUGGACAAUGGGGGCAACCCUGAUCCAGCCAUGCCGCGUGAGUGAAGAAGGCCUUCGGGUUGUAAAGCUCUUUCGGCCGGGAAGAAAUCGUAUGGGUUAAUACCCUGUGCGGAUGACGGUACCGGCAUAAGAAGCACCGGCUAACUACGUGCCAGCAGCCGCCGUAAAAC
rnacentral:rRNA from 1 species